AGGUCCCUGCGCCCAAACAGUGUUCCAUAAGAAUCUAACACAUGUAUCUUACGCCUUCGCGCAUUCACUACAGCAAGAUACCAGUGUGUAUCUUUUAUAUUUAUUGGUAAGAACAACUAUCAAGUAUUAAAAAAUGUAAUGUCAGUCAAGGAACGUAUAUUGGAUAAAUGAAGUAUAUAUCGUAAUGUUGAAAAUAGUAGUUACCAUAUCGUGUUGCAUGUACGAUAAUACCCUUUCAGCCAACCGUGGAACCUGUGAAUGCCCACGGGAGGGAUAGUGAUCCUCCAUGUCCUCCAUGUUCCAUUUUUCUUCACCAUCCCCCUUCAUUAACACGGUCAUACUUGUAUUUUCUAGGUAGCACGUACCACCUGGCCUAUUUAUCAUAUUAUCUUGAGUCCGCAAUAGGUGGAUGUACGCAUUUAUGACCUGCAAAAAAUCAACCAUGAAUGAUUUCUCAAUAUAAAAAAAGAUUUUUGUUCCCAUAAAUUUGUACUCGGGGUUAUUACCUCGUCAUACAGGUAUGCGUUUCGACAAAAUAAGCACUGCAUGUGAUUCCUAUUCACCAGGACAUCAUCGAUGAGCACAAGCUCUUCCCUACCUGGUUCAGCUGAGAUCUUUUUAGCAGCUUCAAUGAAGGCAUGAUCAUUGACAGUACAUUCGUACCCUGAAAAUAAUCAUAAAAUUUGAGGAUAAUUAUCAUUGCACAUGAUAAAUGUUGUGAAAAUAUAUCAAAUGAGCAACCUGAUAUAUGAAUGAAACAUAAACUACCUUCCGGAAUCUUGAAAGCAUCUUCUGACUCGUUGGUUUCGUCAGUGAUCAACACCUGCUGUGACAUAUCAACAUCUUUGAGUUUGUCAGGUGUCAAACCCUCUUAGUAUUUAUUGGCAUCCAAGUAAUCUGUCUUGGGAGUAGUUUCCUCUAGUUCCAGCAAUAUAUCCAUACUAUAGACACC
rnacentral:lncRNA from 1 species